rnacentral:rRNA from 1 species
UACGGGGGGGGGCAAGCGUUGUUCGGAAUUACUGGGCGUAAAGGGCUCGUAGGCGGCCAACUAAGUCAGACGUGAAAUCCCUCGGCUUAACCGGGGAACUGCAUCUGAUACUGGAUGGCUUGAGAUUGGGAGAGGGAUGCGGAAUUCCAGGUGUAGCGGUGAAAUGCGUAGAUAUCUGGAGGAACACCGGUGGCGAAGGCAGCUCGCUGGAACGGUACUGACGCUGAGGCGCGAAAGCGUGGGGAGCGAACAGG